rnacentral:rRNA from 1 species
CCCUUAGAUGUUCUGGGCCGCACGCGCGCUACACUGAUGCAUUCAACGAGUCUAAAACCUGCUCUGAUAGGGGUGGGUAAUCUUUUGAAUGUGCAUCGUGAUUGGGAUAGAUGAUUGCAAUUUUUCAUCUUCAACGAGGAAUGCCCAGUAAACGCAAGUCAUCAGCUUGCAUUGAUUACGUCCCUGCCCUUUGUACACACCGCCCGUCGCUCCUACCGAUUGAAUGAUCCGAUGAAUAUCAUGGAUUGAGGAUGCAAGCAGGUUCGCCUGUCUUCAUCUUCGAGAAGUGAAGUAAAUCUUAUCAUUUAGAGGAAGGAGAAGUCGUAACA